GCGUUUCACAAAAAAAUGUGGGACUAAAAGAAUGUCGAGUGGGACUCGACGAAGCAGCUCCUGAGAUAAAAACUGAUGUCGAGUCGCACUCGACAUAGGAGUGCAAAGGAUUAAAAUUCCACGCUUAUGAGGUGCAUAAGUUCAGGGAAUCGGAUGUAUUAAAUAAUCAAGGAGUAGCAGAAAUGUAAACAAACCCAUAAACAUUGCAGUCCAUGAUACAUUAGUUCUGGGUGAAGGGACUACAUUCUUGUAAGACUAAUUAGAGGUUCACUGUUUAAUGCAUAAAGCAAACGAGAAAUGAUGUUUCGUUUCUCAAUAUUUUUUUGUUUUUGUUCUUUUUUUUAAAAUUGAAAUUACUUUCACGGGGGUGUUGCAUGAUACAACUCCACCUUGAAACAUAACGAAUUUCGAAGCGGCCUAUGGUAUGCUCGAAAUAUUCAGCAUGCAUAUUUCUAUGCAAAAGAGACUGAAAGUAUAAUCGAAGCAGAGAUGCAGAGCAUUUACUUUUACAUUAAUAUCAAUGUACAGAGAUAGAAAGAUUGAGAGAGAGAGAGAGAGAGAGAGAGAGAGAAAGAGAGAGAGAGAGAGAGAGAGGGAAAGGAAGAGUGAAAGAGAGAGUGAAAGAGAGCACAAGAGAGAGUGAGAGUUGGUAUCAAAUAGCAUAAAAAUGCUAAAUUUUAUUAGAUAGGUUCGAGUAAACGACGAAUAUAGAGUUUUAACCUUGAUAAUUAUUAUUAUAAUAAAACAACCAGUAUUUUGUAUUGUUCUGCGCUUACUUAAAAAUAAGACAUAGAACGAUGUCUUAUGUCCCGGUAAUGGAAGUGUACUUAAAACAUGAGUCGACCAAUUGUUUACUUAUAGAGCAGUUAAUCGUGUAAUAAUUAAUAGGUAAUAACAUUUAGCUUAUCAACAGAACAUUAUAAUUUUUAUCUAUUACACAAAUACAUUUUUUUUUUUUAUUCUCUGUACGUUUUAAUAACACGCCGACAACGGAUGAAAGAUUUCGUACGAUAGCUCGAUACGUACAUAGCUUUUUAAACCGCGUGAAACGAUUUCUGAUAUUCUUUUUCUUGUAAAUGAAUUUUAUUUUGGGACACACGUUUCCAAAUUCUAUGUUACAUUUGUGACAAUGAUAUUUUUGUCGGAUUUUUAUAAAAAUGACGUUUGUUUGUUAUUAAAAUUUUACGAUUAUUUUAUUGUUUAGAAACUAAGACAGUUUACGUUUGGUUUAUUAUGUUUAUAUAAAAAAUAUGUAUCCUUUGUCGUAACGAAACUAGAACGUUAGUACCAGUGAUUAAGGAUUUUUAUUAAAAAAAUGAAUAUAAAAUUAUAUUUGCGAUAUUUGGAAAAUUCAAUUAUAUUCAUCGAGUACUUUAUCGAAAGGAAAAGUUAAUUUGUUAUUGUACGUUUAAUAUCAUUGUUAAAGAAAAAUUAUAAUGAAAAUUAUUAAAUUAUUAUAAAAGUUAUAAAAGUAUAAUGAAAAAUUGCGCUUUUGUUGUAAACUGGUGCAAUCUCUUAUUUCGAAUAAAUGCGAAAUUUUUUUAUAAAAAAUUAGUCGUAAAAUGGACGAGUUGGAGCUUCCUAUUUAAAAUGAAGAAUACUCAUCAUGUCUAUCGUUGGUACUAUAAUGAGACUGUCAUAUCAACGCAUUAUUCUUUUUAUUAACACGGCAAUUACGUUUCUUUUGAUUCAUCGAUGAGAAUAUUACAAUACGCAAUAUUUAAUCUGUAAUAUAACUUGUAAGAAUCGUCUUCCCAUCUUUAUAGCAGAUUUCCUUGUGCAGAAAGUGUAGGUUGACCUGUUGUAUAUCAUACAGAGUGUUCGAUAAAUAUGAUAAAAGACACGAGAAAGACAUUUUCCAUCAUUUUGAUUUCAAUAGUACUAUUACGAUAUUGCAGCUGAUACAAAUUUGUUUUUAAGAUAUUGAGAUAUUUAAUAAAAUAAACCUCGUAUUUAUCAAUUUUAAUGAAACACUCUGACAUAUUGCGUGCAUCGUGAAACAUUUUGUUUGUAAAGUUUAGUUUCAAUUCAAAAUAGUAUCAAAUUCUUAUUGUACUUCUCAUUGAACAAAUAUUCGCUUGUUAGUCGUCUAAUCUGUUACAUCCUCUUCAGGUUCCAAUACCGUAUAAUUUUUCAUAAUAAAAUUUUCUUCCCUGUAGAGGCCAACUUCUCUAUUUCCAAGGAAUCUUUUUUAAAUAGUCCUUACUUAGUAUUUGAAUAACAAACAGGAUUAAAGCAAAACUUCUAGUUAGAAAUAUAUCGAUGAUAAUACAACUUAUCCGAAUCUGUAGUAACCUAUAUGAGAAAAUAAUUCCUGCAAACAUUGUUUUGCUAUAAUUAGUUAUUGUCAUUGUAAUUAUUCGAAAGAAAGGGAAAGCUAUAUUAUGGCGAAAAAUACAGAGGGGAAAUGCAGUAAAGCGUGUGUACGCCAUUCAGGCUACAGUUUUUAAUAAUAACGAACUAUGUAUAAAUAGAAAUUCGCCCGUUAAAAGAAGUAUUAUUAGUAGAUUAGUUAGUGAAAUACUAUGAAAAAAAUUACUGAAAUAUUUGUGCCUUCGAUAAAAUUUAGUAUUUUAAUCCUUUCGUAAUGCGAGGUAGACACGAGAAGAAUUAUAUUAAGAAGAUCGUGUAGAGAUAAUAUAAAUAUAUAAAACCAACAACCGACAGUCUGAUUAAAAUUAUUAGUCAACGAAGCAUUCUUUAACGAAACGAUUAUCGAACUUUCGAUAAGCUUGUUUCUCUGUUUCAAAGAAACUGCAGAAGAAGCAUCCGAUGCUUCUAACAUCCGUGUUUCAUUCGAAAUUGAAAAUUUGCUCUAUCUUAUUUUAUCGAUACGAAAUCGAAAAAAUAUAAUUAUAUCAUGUAUCUUGGCAUAUAUUAUAUUUUACAUCUACCAUAAUUAAACUAUCUUUUAAUCAUACAUUGAACAAAAAGAGAAUCGAUUGGUAGCUAAAACAAUUAUAAAACUAAAAUUUAACCAGUAAAGUCUUUCACUUUUAAUUAGUCUAUGUCAAUUAUUCUGUAUAUGGUAGUGCUAAAUUUUAAUUAACUAUUUAUGCGAACGAAAGAACGAAAAUUUAUUUUAGAUCGGAAGUUUUGUACCAAUUAGAAGAAAAUAUAAAUUAUAUGACGCUGCUGUAAAUAUAAAAGUACAGAAUAAUAUUUUUCUGUAACGUAUGUAUAAAAGAUAGAGAGGGACGAAGAGAUUGAUGAGUCUGAUAAACGAAUAAAUUUAAACGUAGGAAAAAGAGUAGGAAAAAAAGAGUAGAGAAAAGGAAAGGUACGUGCACGAGAAAGAGAAUAUCUGUGAAUGCAUAACAUUAAUUUAAAGGAAAGUGCACGGAAUAAAAUUAUAAUGACGUUAUAUUUAUAUUUAACUCGUUAAAAAAAUAAUCGAUUGUGAUCUAAAUUUGAUAAAAGACAAAGGAAUACGGAUAUAUUGUGGAACGUCUGGAUACGUUUAUAGCUUGAUCGACUUUGUUUCACUUUGUUGUCCACUCAACUAUGACGAAAACUUUAGUUUAAGCACAGUUUUAUUUCAUUGAUUCUCGAUUAAAACUUCGAUAAUAACGAUAAUAAUCGUCUUCCUUUUGCAAAGAUAUAGUAUUAAUUAUAUAAUAACAAUAAUAAUAAAAUUGGUCAAAAUUUAUUCGCCAAUCAUGACAAUAUACAUAUGAUACGCUCGAAAUUGUGAAAUUCAUUAAUAUACAUCGAUCAAAGAGCUUAAAUACAGUACAUUGUAAUGAUUAAUACACAUAUAUGUACAUGUGCGUGUUGAAACUAAAGAAAUCGUAUGCUAGAAAUAAUAAAUAGUACUCGCGCAUAGUUUAAUGUGUAAUCUUUAAUAGGAUUGUCAAACGCAGCGGAGAAAAUUUUUAUAUCAGAUGCAAACAUAUUAAUGAACUUUAUAUCAUGCACGAUGAACUGACUUGCAUUUAUUUUUCUUCCUAUACUAUCGUAUUUCCUGUUUUCUUUCUAAUAAUCCUUUCUCUUUCGACAAGAACACGAUCAUUUCUGUAAGACAGGUGAAUGCGAAUCACUUGGAUUAUCGACAAAAAUAUUUGCUUGUCAAGUCAGUUAAUCGGACGAAAGCAGAUUGCGAAAAUAUUAUAAUCAUGAAAAUACUUCAUAUUCCCAAUAUAGAAAGAUGGCUAUUUAAACGCAAUUAGAGGAUAAUUUUAUACAUACAACAUGUUCAAUGCGAAAUAAAUAAAUUUUUAUAAAGUAUC